rnacentral:rRNA from 1 species
UACGGAGGAUCCGAGCGUUAUCCGGAUUUAUUGGGUUUAAAGGGUGCGCAGGCGGGAAAUUAAGUCGGCGGUGAAAUUUUGCGGCUCAACCGUAAAAGUGCCUUCGAUACUGGUUUUCUUGAGUGUAGCUGAAGUAGGCGGAAUUUGUGGUGUAGCGGUGAAAUGCGUAGAUAUCAGGAGGAACACCGGUGGCGAAGGCGGCCUGCUGGACUGUAACUGACGCUAAGGCUCGAAAGCGUGGGUAGCGAACAGGAUUAGAUACCCCCGUAGUCCCUGAGCGGGCUGG